AUUAUUAUUACCGCCAUUCCAGUUAUGGCGGGUUAGCCGACGCGUGCACCCAACCCGCCCUAGAGGCGGGUUUU
rnacentral:sRNA from 1 species